rnacentral:rRNA from 1 species
AACGGCUCACCAAGGCUAAGACGUCUAGGCGGAUUGAGAGAUUGACCGCCAACACUGGGACUGAGAACUGCCCAGACUCCUACGGGAGGCUGCAGUCGAGAAUCAUUCGCAAUGGGCGAAAGCCUGACGAUGCGACGCCGUGUGUAUGAUGAAGGCCUUCGGGUCGUAAAGUACUUUCGCUUGGGAACAAAGAAGGAUGGCUAAUAACCAUUUAACCUGAGGGUACCAGGUAAAGAAGCACCGGCUAACUCCGUGCCAGCAGCUGCGGUAAUACGGAGGGUGCAAGCAUUAAUCGGAUUUAUUGGGCGUAAAGGGCGCGUAGGCUGCCGCAUAAGUCAGAUGUGAAAUCCUGGGGCUUAACCUCAGAACAGCAUUUGAAACUGUGCGGCUAGAGGGUAGUCGGAGAAAACGGAAUUCCACAAGUAGCGGUGAAAUGCGUAGAUAUGUGGAAGAACAUCUGUGGCGAAGGC